CAUACCGGGGGCGCACCGGUGCAGUCCUUUUUGCUUGCUUCAUUAGUUCAAGCAGCAGGUGCUAUUUUCAGUUAGAGCUAGAUCUCUUGGUGAAUACACUAGGUUUACACUUUACAGUGGUCUUUUGGUCUCGUGAAUUGGGAAGAGCUAGGGCGCUCGUGUCAGAAACUCUGUUGUUUCAGGGGCAAUUUCUUGGAGCAUUUUCAGCCGGUGGAGGAGUUAGGAGAUCUCAGGAGGAGGAAGUUAGAAAGAAGAAUGGCUCGCAACGGCGUGAAGAGGAGCAUCUGGCAGUGGCUCUGCGGCUGCUCGCCAUCUUCCACGGAAGAAUAAUUACAAGAACCUUAAUAUAUGAACAUGAGAUCUUAUAAGGGUGCAGAGGCUUUAAGUUUGCAGUGCUCAGUUGUUUUGUUCCUUGGCAUGUCUUGUGAUUUGUAAGUGUCAUGUGUACAAAGAGCCGGAUUUCGAAAUAAAGCUUGGGUAUUUGGUUU